rnacentral:rRNA from 1 species
UACAGAGGGGGCAAGCGUUAUUCGGAUUUAUUGGGCGUAAAGAGCGUGUAGGCGGCCUGACAGGUCUGCUGUGAAAACUCGAGGCUCAACCUCGAGAUGUCGGCGGAAACCGUCUGGCUAGAGUCCGGAAGAGGAGAGUGGAAUUCCUGGUGUAGCGGUGGAAUGCGCAGAUAUCAGGAGGAACACCAAUAGCGAAGGCAGCUCGCUGGGACGGUAUUGACGCUGAGGCGCGAAAGCGUGGGGAGCAAGCAGG